AUUGAACGCUGGCGGCAGGCCUAACACAUGCAAGUCGAGCGCGCGGCGGGCGGGUGAGUAAUGUAUGGGGACUGCACGAUAGAGGGGGAUAACUACGGGAAACGGUGGCUAAUACAGCAUACUAUCGGAUAACCCAUAUGGGAGUAGCUAGUAGGGGGGGUAAAGGCUCACCUAGGCGACGAUCUCUAGCUGGUCUGAGAGGAUGAUCAGCCAGACUGGGACUGAGACGCGGCCCAGACUCCUACGGAGGCAGCAGUGGGGAAUAUUGCACGAUGGGCGCAAGCCUGAUGCAGCCAUGCCGCGUGUAUGAAGAAGCCCUUCGGGUUGUAAAGUACUGUCAGCGGGAAGGCGUUACCCGCAGAAGAAGCACCGGCUAACUCCGUGCCAGCAGCCGCGGUAAUAC
rnacentral:rRNA from 1 species